rnacentral:rRNA from 1 species
UACAGGGGUCUCAAGCGUUGUUCGGAUUCAUUGGGCGUAAAGGGUGCGUAGGCGGCGCGGUAAGUCGGGUGUGAAAUCUCGGAGCUUAACUCCGAAACUGCAUUCGAUACUGCCGUGCUUGGGGACUGGAGAGGAGACUGGAAUUUACGGUGUAGCGGUGAAAUGCGUAGAUAUCGUAAGGAAGACCAGUGGCGAAGGCGGGUCUCUGGACAGUUCCUGACGCUGAGGCACGAAGGUCAGGGGGGCAAACGGG